rnacentral:rRNA from 1 species
UACGUAGGGUGCAAGCGUUGUCCGGAAUUAUUGGGCGUAAAGAGCUCGUAGGCGGUUUGUCGCGUCGAAUGUGAAAUCCCGGGGCUCAACCCCGGGCCUGCAUUCGAUACGGGCAGACUAGAGUUCGGUAGGGGAGUCUGGAAUCCCUGGUGUAGCGGUGAAAUGCGCAGAUAUCAGGAGGAACACCGGUGGCGAAGGCGGGACUCUGGGCCGAUACUGACGCUGAGGAGCGAAAGCGUGGGGAGCAAACAGG